rnacentral:rRNA from 1 species
GACAGAGGUGCCAAGCGUUAGGCGGAAUCACUGGGCUUAAAGCGUGUGUAGGCGGAUCGUUAAGUACCUUGUGAAAUCCCUCGGCUCAACCGAGGAAUGGCGCUUGAUACUGCACGGCUUGAAGGAGACAGGGGUAAGCGGAACUGAUGGUGGAGCGGUGAAAUGCGUUGAUAUCAUCAGGAACACCGGUGGCGAAAGCGGCUUACUGGGUCUCAUCUGACGCUGAGGAACGAAAGCUAGGGGAGCGAACGGG